GCCUGGAUGGCUCAAUCAGUUAAGCGUCUGACUUCAGCUCAGAUCAUGAUCUCAUGGCUCAUGGGUUCAAGCACCAAUUUGGGCU
rnacentral:tRNA from 1 species